CAGAGUAAAUAUAUGUGCGUUAUACUUAGAGGCAGUUUUUGUCAAAGGUAUUAAGUGUCUUGUGAACGGGGAGUUGUCACAUGAACGAAAGCUUUUGCUGCGGUACAUAUAUUGCAUCCCGCUG
rnacentral:ncRNA from 1 species